rnacentral:lncRNA from 1 species
GGGUUGAAUACCCAGCAUAAACGUAAUGUAUUUUUCAUUAUAAAUAAAAAAAAUAAAUAAAUGAAAUAAAAAAAAAAUAAAUAAUAAUAAUAAUAAUAGUAAUAACAAUAAUAAUAAUAAUAAUAAUAAUAAUAAUAAUAAUAAUAAUAAUAGUAAUAAUAAUAACAAUAGUAAUAGUAAUAAUAAUAAUAUGUAACAAAUAGCCAACAACAAAUAACAAAUAAUUUAAAAAGAAAUAAUAAGAUAAACUGAAACAUAUAUACUCGCACAUACACACAAUCCCACAUAUGCACCAACGUAAAUGAAAACAAAAUGCUACUAUUUCAUUUUUUUGGCUAUAAGAACUAUUUUCAGCAUUAAAUUAAAAAGUAGCAAAAAAGAUGUUUUUUUUUUAAGUAACUUUAUACAAGAUUUGUCAAAUGUAAAUAGCAAUAAGAUAAAAAUAGGAAACAAAAGAAUAAAAAAAUAUGUGAGUAAUUUAUUUAAUAAAGUUAGCUUUAAAAAAUCAUUUAUUAUAAAAAAAAACGUAGGUGUGACUCCUCAAUUAUAUUGUAAUAAAAAUGACACAGAUAAAAAUGGAUUAAGUCACAGUAACAGUGAUAACGAUAAAGAUAUCAUAAUAAAUAAAAGUAAAGAGAAAGUGAUUGAACAAAGUGUGGUCCCGUUAAAUAUGGAUUGGAUAAAAGUCAUGAAUUUAAUAUACGCUAGUAAAGAUGUAGAUGCAACUACUUUAGCUUUUAAUGCAGCAGUUUCAGCGAUUGAAAAAAAAGGGUGUUUAGUAACAAUGUUAGAGAUAUUUGAAAUAAUGAAAAAAAAAAAUAUAAAACCAGAUUUAGUUUCGUAUAAAUUAUUAUUAAGUUUAUGUGAUAAAUAUCAUUUAGCUGAUCAUGCUGAAAUAAUAUUUAAUGACAUGGUUGAACAAGAUAAGAUAUUACCAAAUUAUGAAAUUUAUUCAAUUAUGAUUAGUUGCUUUUCUAAAGUUGGUAAUGGUCAUAAAGCUAUCGAAUUUUUUGAAAAACUUCGAAACGAUCCGUUUGUUGAAAAUAUAAAAAAUUUCAAACUAAAUGAUGAACAAACAAAAUUAGAAAAGUGGAAAAAUAUUUUUUCAAAAGAGAAUUUAAGUCAAAACAAUAAAGAGGAGGAAUUUGAAAAAACUGAGUAUAAGCAACGGUUUAAGGAAAUUACAAAUAAAAUAAAAAAUAUGCAAAAAGGCAAUAAUCAAAUUCAGUAUGCUGAAUAUGCAAAUGUUAUUUUUGCUUGCAACAUGGCUAAUUUACAUGAACAAGGAAUAAAAUAUAUUGAUGAGUUGCUAAAUGGAGGGACUAACAGUAGCAGUAAUAGUGAUAACAAAUAUAUGCCAUCCGUGUUCAUUUUUGAAAACAUAUUUGAAUUGCUAGCGAAAAAUGGAGAUUAUGAAAAAUGUUUAGAGUAUUACACAAAACUAAAAGAAGAUCCUAAUUUUAAACACUAUAUUAACAUAAACAUAUUAAAUAACAUUUUAAAAGCUUUAAGUAUAUAUAAUAAAAUUAAUGUUAUUGAAGACAUAUGGCAACAAGAAUUUGACGAUUUAUUUUUAGUCCCUAAUUGUUUAUCAUAUCAAAUUAUGUUAUCAGUUUAUAGUAACACCGAUGAUUAUGAAAAAGCUUUUAAAAUGUUUAAAGAAAUGCAACUAAAAAAGCUUUUAAAUAAAAAUAACAUCUUACCCUUUAUAUAUACAAUUAAUGUUUUUAAAAAUUGUGGCAUAUUUAAUUAUGCUAUUUAUGUAUUAAGAGUGGGUAUACAUAUAGGAAUUGUUGGGCAGCAGCUUGUAAUUUUAUAUCAACAUACUAUGAUAACCUGUGCAAAUGCAAAACAAUAUGAAAUGAUACUUUCGUUAUACACAGAAUUGAUAACUAUGCAGGAAAAAAAUACAGCUAUAAAAAUAAACAUUGCCAUACUUAGUUUUGUUCUCUUAGCGUUCAAAGAGUUAAAAAUGAAAGAAAGUUUUAUAGAAUUAAAAAAUUUAAUUACUCAAAAAAAUUACAAAUUAACUCCUUUAUGUUCGAGUUUGAUUGAUGGGGUUCACGAUUGGUAGAUAGUGCUUACCCUUUUUGUAUAGACAUCCGGAGUG